GAUGAACGCUGGCGGCGUGCCUAAUACAUGCAAGUCGAGCGAAUGGAUUAAGAGCUUGCUCUUAUGAAGUUAGCGGCGGACGGGUGAGUAACACGUGGGUAACCUGACCAUAAGACUGGGAUAACUCCGGGAAACCGGGGCUAAUACCGGAUAACAUUUUGAACCGCAUGGUUCGAAAUUGAAAGGCGGCUUAGGCUGUCACUUAUGGAUGGACUCGCGUCGCAUUAGCUAGUUGGUGAGGUAACGGCUCACCAAGGCAACGAUGCGUAGCCGACCUGAGAGGGUGAUCGGCCACACUGGGACUGAGACACGGCCCAGACUCCUACGGGAGGCAGCAGUAGGGAAUCUUCCGCAAUGGACGAAAGUCUGACGGAGCAACGCCGCGUGAGUGAUGAAGGCUUUCGGGUCGUAAAACUCUGUUGUUAGGGAAGAACAAGUGCUAGUUGAAUAAGCUGGCACCUUGACGGUACCUAACCAGAAAGCCACGGCUAACUACGUGCCAGCCGCCGCGGUAA
rnacentral:rRNA from 1 species